CCGGACCCCACUGCUAUCGAGAUGGGACUAAGGUAUGCUAGUCGAACGACCAGAACUAUGUCUGGAAGUGGCACACUGCUCAGUAACACGUAGCUAACCUACCCUUAGGACGUGGAUACCCCCGAGAAAUUGGGGUUAAUCCGCGAUAGGUGUAAUGUCCUGGAAUGGUAUUACGCCUAAAGGUGUAUCAUACAUGUUUGAUAUACGCCUAAGGAUGGGGCUGCGGCCGAUCAGGCUGUUGGUGAGGUAAUGGCUCACCAAACCUUUGACCGGUACGGGCCAUGAGAGUGGUAGCCCGGAGAUGGACACUGAGACAAGGGUCCAGGCCCUAAGGGGCGCAGCAACCGCGAAACCUCCACAAUGCACUCACGUGCGAUGGGGCUAUCUCGAGUGCCACCUGAUGAAGGGGGCUUUUCCUUGGUCUUCAAAGCCUUGGGAAUAAGAGGGGGGCAAGACUGGUGUCAGCCGCCGCGGUAACACCAGCCCCUCGAGUGGUGGGGAUGAUUAUUUGGCCUAAAGCGUCCGUAGCCGGCCGAGCAAGUCUUCCGUUAAAUCCAGCGUCUCGAGCGUUGGACCGCGGGAGAUACUACACGGCUAGAGAGUGGGAGAGGUCAGCGGUAUUCUGGGGGUAGGGGCGAAAUCCUUUGAUCCCCGGAGGACCACCAGUGGCGAAGGCUGCUGACUAGAACACGUCUGACGGUCAGGGACGAAAGCUGGGGUAGCGAACCGGAUUAGAUACCCGGGUAGUCCCAGCCGUAAACGAUGCAUGCUAGGUGUUGGGUUGGCCACGAGCCACCCCAGUGCCGCAGGGAAGCCGUUAAGCAUGCCGCCUGGGAAGUACGAUCGCAAGGUUGAAACUUAAAGGAAUUGGCGGGGGAGCAC
rnacentral:rRNA from 1 species